rnacentral:rRNA from 1 species
GACGAACGCUGGCGGCGCGCUUAACACAUGCAAGUCGAGCGAGAACCAGGGCUUCGGCCCUGGGGACAGCGGCGAACGGGUGAGUAACACGUGGAUAACCUGCCCUCGACACCGGAAUAGCCCGGGGAAACUCGGAUUAAUGCCGGAUAGCCCCACAGCCCCUCGGGGCGGUGGGAAAAGGUAGCUUCGGCCUCUGGUCGAGGAUGGGUCCGCGGCGGAUUAGCUUGUUGGCGGGGUAACGGCCCACCAAGGCGACGAUCCGUAGCUGGUCUGAGAGGGCGAUCAGCCACACUGGGACUGAGACACGGCCCAGACUCCUACGGGAGGCAG